UACGUAGGAGGCGAGCGUUAUCCGGAUUUACUGGGCGUAAAGAGGACGCAGGCGGCUUUUCAAGUCGGAUGUAAAAUCUCCCGGCUCAACUGGGAGGGACCGUCCGAUACUGUUGGGCUUGAGUGCAGCAGAGGGAAGCGGAAUUCCCGGUGUAGUGGUGAAAUACGUAGAUAUCGGGAGGAACACCAGUGGCGAAAGCGGCUUUCUAGGCUGUUACUGACGCUGAGGUCCGAAAGCGUGGGGAG
rnacentral:rRNA from 1 species